GGUUCUCUUGUUGGGUCAUAUUAACUCUUCCACUCAGAGUUGCUGAGUCAUAGAUAAUAAAAUACAGGCAUACAUAAAAGUUUCUCACAGAUAUUUUCUCACAGAUAUUCACCGGCAGUGUUUACUUCAGAGGACAGGAAUAGUUCAACAAUCAAGAAGGGAUGUCUGCAGCUGGCAAGAUUUUCUAAAGACUUCCCCAGAAAGCUAUGAAGAGGACUGCAGAGCUUAAGCAAAGCAGGCUGCAUGGCAGCCAGCACAUGGAGGCAGUGAACUGGCGGAUGGAAGCAGGCAAUCAUUUGGCAACCAUCUGCCGCUUUCUACCAGGUCCAUCUAUUGACAUCAGCCAGCUGAGAUGACCUUAGAAAUAAAUGUGCUGGAAAUGGGGAAAAGAGGAGAAAUUUGAACGAGACUGGCAAAAGUUUAAGGAAUUAUGGAAUAGUGAAUGAGAGACCAUUAACUAUAACAAAUUGUUGAGAAAGUAUGGCUUCCCUCAAAAUAUUUGUUAUUAGUAAUGAUCAGAGGCUCAAAUUAUCACUAAUUUUUGCUCUUAUUUUAUGUAAUUAUUAUAA